rnacentral:rRNA from 1 species
CACGUAGGCACCAAGCGUUGUCCGGAUUUAUUGGGCGUAAAGAGCUCGUAGGCGGUUGAGUAAGUCGGGUGUGAAAACUCUGGGCUUAACCCAGAGCCGCCACCCGAUACUGCUCUGACUUGAGUUCGGUAGGGGAGCAGGGAAUUCCUAGUGUAGCGGUGAAAAUGCGCAGAUAUUAGGAGGAACACCGGUGGCGAAGGCGCUGCUCUGGGCCGAUACUGACGCUGAGGAGCGAAAAGCGUGGGUAGAAACAGGA